rfam:Stegodyphus mimosarum contig36140, whole genome shotgun sequence.
GCUUUCGUGGUGUAGUGGUCAGCACACUCGACGCGUAACCGAGAGAUCCGUGGUUCGAUUCUGGGAGAAGGCU